GUAUUGUUCUGUGUAAAGCUGAUGGUGCUGUUCACAUCAGAAAUUGCAGCACUGAAGAACAGAGUUCAUGCAGACUUUUACAACAUGCAUCAGCUACAGCAUUUGUUUGUUGAUGGUACCAGCUGUCAAAAACCAAGCAAGUGGCAGUGCUAGAGGUGCCACAAAAGUGCGAAGGAAGUGUCAGGCUGGAUGUCAAAAUGAACACCUUGGAGAACUGGAUGAUGGAACAGACGGUAAAAAUCAGCUAAACAUCAGAGAAAAUGGAGGAAGAGGUCAAAACUGUGAACAGGAACUAGAAGAAAGUGUAGCAGAAAAAGACUUGUCACAAACUUCGAGAGAUUUGGAGAAAAUGAUGUCAAAACACAUCUUCCUCAAGCCCAUGCUGAGUAUCUCUGAUUUGGUUAAUUUCUUGACCCAGAGAUGCUGGGUGGCCUCUGGCCGCUGACCUCCUGAUUGCCAUCCCUCCCCCAUCACCACAACUCAAUAAUCAAACCAGCAACUGAGGAGUUACUCUACACUCUUCUUUACCUCCCAACCACCCCGUUCCAGCUGCUAAUCAUCAUGCUGAUUCUACCUGUAAAAUACAGCUCGAUUUGUUUGGUUUUCUCCAUCUCCACAGCUGGCACCCUCUCUACGUCUCUGCCAUCUGUCACCUAGACAACACAGCAUCUUCCAAAUGAGUGCCUCUAUUUCCAGGGUGAUCUUAAAACAGAAAUCAGAUUUUCACCCCUGCUGAAUAUCCUUCAGGGUCUCUUCUCUGCACCCAGCUGGAAUCCAAACACUGGUCCAGGAAGCCCCGCCUGCCUCUCCUGCCUCACCCAGAUGGCUCUACCCUUUGCCCACCUCACUUCAGCCACAGUGGCCUCACCUAAGUGCCUCCACAUUUGGUAUCUAUUCAUUCUCUAGCCAGUGCACCUCAGAAUGCCUGGAAUUCAGCUGGGCAUGGUGGCCCAUUCCUGUAAUUCCAGCACUUUGUGAGGCCAAGGUGGGUGGAUCACUUGAGGUCAGGAGUUCGAGACCAGCCUGACCAACAUGGGGAACCCCCGUCUCUACCGAAAAUACAAAAAUUAGUUGGGCAUAGUGGUGCGUGCCUGUAAUCCCAGCCACUCUGGAGGCCGAGGUAGGAGAAUUGCUUGAACCUGGAGGUGGAGGUUGCAGUGAGCCAAGAUUGUGCCACUGCACUCCAGCCUGGGCGACACAGCAAGAUUCUGUCUCAAACAAACAAACAAACAAAUAAAAAGAAUGCCUGGAAUUCCUGUCCUUUCCCAUCACUUGUUGUCUCUUUCUCAUCUUUCCAGCCUCAGCUUAAAUGUCACCUCCUCAGGGGAGCCUUCCCUGGUCACAUGAUCUUUAAUAGGUCAUCCAUGUUUUUCUUCCCUCAGCACCUCAUUUGUUUCCUUCCCAGUACUUAAUGUAAUAGAUCAUUAUUCUUUGUGUAUUUAAGUGUCUCCCCAUGGUGGGUGCAGUGGCUCAUGCCUGUAAUCCCAGUACUUUGGGAGGCUGAGGCAGGAGGAUUACUUGUGUCCAGGAGUUUGAGACCAGCCUGGGCAACAUAGUGAGAUCCUGUCUCUAUAAAAAAAAUUACAAAUUAGCCAAGUGUGGUGGUGCAGACCUGUAGUCCCAGUUACUCGGGAGGCUAAGGCGGGAGGAUCACUUGAGCCUGGGAGGUCGAGGCUAAAGUGAGCUGAGAUGGUGCCACUGAACUCCAGCUUGGGUGUCAGAGUGAGACCCUAAAAAAGAAAAAGUUAAAUUAAAUAAUUGUUUCCCCAACUACACUAUAAUCUCCAU
rnacentral:lncRNA from 1 species